rnacentral:rRNA from 1 species
CCUACGGGUGGCUGCAGUGAGGAAUAUUGGUCAAUGGACGCAAGUCUGAACCAGCCAAGUAGCGUGAGGGAUGACUGCCCUAUGGGUUGUAAACCUCUUUUGUCGGGGAGCAAGCCUGGGCACGUGUGGCGGGGAGGAGAGUACCCGGAGAAAAAGCAUCGGCUAACUCCGUGCCAGCAGCCGCGGUAAUACGGAGGAUGCGAGCGUUAUCCGGAUUUAUUGGGUUUAAAGGGUGCGAACGCGGAUGGUUAAGUCAGCGGUAAAAUGUCGGUGCUCAACACCGCGCUGCCGUUGGAACUGGAUUCUUGAGUGAGCGAGAAGUAGGCGGAAUGCGUGGUGUAGCGGUGAAAUGCAUAGAUAUCACGCAGAACGCCGAUUGCGAAGGCAGUAUACCGGCGCUCAACUGACGCUGAGGCACGAAAGCGUGGGGAUCGAACAGGAUUAGAUACCCGGGUAGUC